rnacentral:rRNA from 1 species
GAUGAACGCUGGCGGCGUGCCUAAUACAUGCAAGUCGAGCGAACGGACGAGAAGCUUGCUUCUCUGAUGUUAGCGGCGGACGGGUGAGUAACACGUGGAUAACCUACCUAUAAGACUGGGAUAACUUCGGGAAACCGGAGCUAAUACCGGAUAAUAUUUUGAACCGCAUGGUUCAAAAGUGAAAGACGGUCUUGCUGUCACUUAUAGAUGGAUCCGCGCUGCAUUAGCUAGUUGGUAAGGUAACGGCUUACCAAGGCAACGAUGCAUAGCCGACCUGAGAGGGUGAUCAGCCACACUGGAACUGAGACACGGUCCAGACUCCUACGGGAGGCAGCAGUAGGGAAUCUUCCGCAAUGGGCGAAAGCCUGACGGAGCAACGCCGCGUGAGUGAUGAAGGUCUUCGGAUCGUAAAACUCUGUUAUUAGGGAAGAACAUAUGUGUAAGUAACUGUGCACAUCUUGACGGUACCUAAUCAGAAAGCCACGGCUAACUACGUGCCAGCAGCCGCGGUAAUACGUAGGUGGCAAGCGUUAUCCGGGAUUAUUGGGCGUUAAGCGCGCGUAGGCGGUUUUUUAGUCUGAUGUGAAAGCCCACGGCUCAACCGUGGAGGGUCAUUGGAAACUGGAAAACUUGAGUGCAGAAGAGGAAAGUGGAAUUCCAUGUGUAGCGGUGAAAUGCGCAGAGAUAUGGAGGAACACCAGUGGCGAAGGCGACUUUCUGGUCUGUAACUGACGCUGAUGUGCGAAAGCGUGGGGAUCAAACAGGAUUAGAUACCCUGGUAGUCCACGCCGUAAACGAUGAGUGCUAAGUGUUAGGGGGUUUCCGCCCCUUAGUGCUGCAGCUAACGCAUUAAGCACUCCGCCUGGGGAGUACGACCGCAAGGUUGAAACUCAAAGGAAUUGACGGGGACCCGCACAAGCGGUGGAGCAUGUGGUUUAAUUCGAAGCAACGCGAAGAACCUUACCAAAUCUUGACAUCCUUUGACAACUCUAGAGAUAGAGCCUUCCCCUUCGGGGGACAAAGUGACAGGUGGUGCAUAGUUGUCGUCAGCUCGUGUCGUGAGAUGUUGGGUUAAGUCCCGCAACGAGCGCAACCCUUAAGCUUAGUUGCCAUCAUUAAGUUGGGCACUCUAAGUUGACUGCCGGUGACAAACCGGAGGAAGGUGGGGAUGACGUCAAAUCAUCAUGCCCCUUAUGAUUUGGGCUACACACGUGCUACAAUGGACAAUACAAAGGGCAGCGAAACCGCGAGGUCAAGCAAAUCCCAUAAAGUUGUUCUCAGUUCGGAUUGUAGUCUGCAACUCGACUACAUGAAGCUGGAAUCGCUAGUAAUCGUAGAUCAGCAUGCUACGGUGAAUACGUUCCCGGGUCU